rnacentral:lncRNA from 1 species
UUUUUUUUUUUUUUUUUUUUUUUUUUUUUGCUGCGUCUGUGGCAUUUGGCAGUUCCCAGGCCAGGGAUCAAAUCAGCAAUACAGCAGGGACCCUAGCUGCUGCAGUGACAGUGCUGGGUUCUUAAUUUGCUGUGCCACAAGGGAACUCCCUAGUAACUUUAAUUUUUUGAGGAGUUGCCACACUGUUUUCCAAAGCAGCUUUCGUGUUUCACGGUCCCACCAAUAGUACACAAGGGUUCCAAUUUCUUCACAUUCUUACCAGUAUUUGUUUUCGGGUUUUUGACAGCCCUGCUAAUGGCUGUGAGGUGGUAUCUCACUGUAGUUCGAUAUGUGUUUCUCUGGUGAUUAAAUAAUGUUGAGUUCCUGUCGUGGCGCAUUUUGCUGGAUAUAGGACUCCUGUGUUGAUAGUUUUUUUUUCUCUGACCACUUUGAAUAUGUCAGCCUACUCUCUGCUGGCCUCCAAAGUUUCUGAUAAGAAGUCUGCUGAUAAUCUUAUUGAGGAUCCCUUGUGCAUGAGGAUUUACUUCUAACUUACUGACUUCAAGAUUCUCUUGGUCUUUUUUUUUAAAGUUUGAUUAUAAUAUGUUUUGGUGUGGGUAUCUUUGAAUUAAUCUUACUUUGAGUUUGUUGAGCUUCCUGGAUAUUUUAUUUUUUUCAUGGAUCAUAUACAUAUGUCCAUUUAUUUAUGGAGAGCUUCCUGGAUAUUUUAACAUGUAUUUUUAUGUGGGAAAAAGUCAAUGUGCACAGGAGAAUUAUGAUAGGACAUCUUUUAAAAAAUAGUGUAUCAUUUUUGUCUGACUAGAGGAUAGCUCUAAAUAUAUGACAGUGGGAUUAAGGAAUUGUUUCUUAUUUUGUGGAUUUCAGUUGUUUAGAUUUUGCUAACAAAUAUGCAUUGCUUCCCACCUCCUUUAGAGAGAGAGCUUACAGAAUUAUAAAAGCAAAACAUUAAAAUCAUUUAAAUAAUAUAGAAGUAAGUGAAGUGCAUAUCUCACUUCCACUCCCCAGGGAUAAUCUCUUCUGGUUGAUGGUUUGUCUUUUCAGAAAAUUAGGUGCUGGUAGUAGGCAAAUGAAAGAAACAAAAUACAUCAAAAUUGGAAAGAAAACUGUCACCAUUCACAGUUGAUGUGAUCGUAUGUGUUGAAAACGGAGCAAGAUUUAUAGUAGAACUAUUAGAACUAAAACAUGAACUUAGCAAGGUUUCUAGACACAGGAUCAGUACACAAAAAGAUCAGUUAUAUUUCUACUUACUAGCAAAAGUCAAAUAAAAGUAAAAAUUUUAGAUACCAUUUAAAAAUAAAAUAUAUAAGAAUAAAUCUAUUGGCACAGCCCUGGAAAUCAACUAUAAUAAAAUUUUUUUAAGAAGAAUAAAUCUAGCAAAGAAUUUGUAUGAUCUCUAUGCUGAAAACUAUAAAACAGUACUAAAAAAAUUAAAGACGCCCUAAAGCAGGGAUUUACCAUGUUCGUGGAUUGAACAACAUCUUGAACUGUUAUUAAGAUGUCAGUUCUUCCCAAAUUGAUCUUAUGGAUUGACAUCCCAAUCAAAAUCCCAAUAGGCCAUUUGGAGAAGUGGGUGGAAAUUGGCAAGCUGAUUGUAAAACAUAAAUAUAAAUGCAAAGGACCCUGGAACCGCCAGAAUAAUCUUGAAGAAGAAGAAAGCCCGAGGACUUACACUGUAUAGGAUCCAGACUUAGUUUAGCUGUAGCUGUUGGUACAAAAGCAGAUCAGUAGACCAGUGCAGUAGAAUAGAAGGUCCAGAAACAGACCCAGAGGUAUGUGGUCCCCUGAUUUAUGACAGGGCUCCACUGCAAUUCGGUGGGGGAAAGGAUGGUCUUUGCAUUAACCCGUGUUGGCUAGUGGGGUAUUCAUACGGGAAAGAUGAACUCGGUCGGACCCCUCCCUCACCCCAUACACAGAAAAUUAACUCAGGCUAGAUCAUAGAUUUAAAUGUGGAUGCUAACACAGUCAGUCAAGCCUUAGAAAAAAUAAGGGGGGGGAAUCUUUGUGAAGUUGGUUAAGGUAAAGAUGAAACAGAACUAACCAUGAAAGAGAAGAACACUGUACCAGGAUUCAUUAAAAUUAGGAGUGUCUGUUUAUUAGAAGGCAGCACUAAAAGGAUGAAAAAGCAAACCAUGGACCAGGAGACCAUACCCCUAACACAUUAAAAAUCCGUAAGAAACAGACACCCACUGGAAAAGUGAGCCAGAAAUUUGAAGGCUAUCACAACAGAAUAUCAUUUGUCACCAGAAAAAUGCCAGUUAAGCUCAGUCUGGGAAAAUAUUUGGUAGUAAUAAGGCUAAAUAUGCAUAUUUCUGUGACCCAGCAAUUCCCCUUGUGUGUAUAUACCCAACAAUAAUGAAUAUUUAGGUCCAUCACAACACAGAUCGGAAUGUGUGAAGUUCAAAAAAAGCAGAAUCAACCAUGUCCGUCAACAAAAGAAUGAGAUUUUUUUGGUAUGUUCAUACAAUCAACUCCUACAUAAUAAAGAAAAAAAACAAGCUACCGAUACCCUCAGCAAUAAGUCUGCCUCUCACAAGCUUUGUGUGUCAAGUCUGAUUCAAAAGGGCACACUCUCUGUGGUCCCAUUGCAGGGAGUUUAAAGUCAGGCCAGAUGGAUCUGAAAGAUAGACGUCAAGACCUUGGUGACCCCUGGAGAAGGUUCUGACUGGAGGGGCAUGAGGGAGCCUUCGAGGGAGCUGGGAACUUGUAUCUGAUAAUUUGGAUGGUGUGCACACAGGCAUACACAUGCAUAAAAAUGCACUGAGCUCACAUUACUGUCUAAGUUAUACCUCAGUUUAGAAAAAGUUAGGCUAGCAGCUAUCUAAAAGUUCAAAUAUACGUGCACCGAAAUGAAGCAAUACUGCCAUGGCCUUUUUUUUUUUUUUUUUUUUUUUUUUUUUUUUCUUCUCAGGGCUGCACUCACAGCCUGUGGAGGUUCCCAGGCUAGGGGUUGAAUCAGAGCUACAGCUGCCAGCCUACACCAUAUCCAUAGCCAUGCAGGAUCCGAGCUGCAUCUUUGACCUACACCACAGCUCA